rnacentral:rRNA from 1 species
GGAAACGGAGCUAAUACCUCAUACUCCUUUUACCUUAAUGGUAAUUGGGAAAUGUUUUUUCGCUAAAGGAUGAGACUAUAUGGUAUCAGGUAGUUGGUGGGGUAAGACCCCACCAAGCCAAUGACGCCUAGCUGGUGCUGAGAGGAUGAUCAGCCCACACUGGACCUGAGACACGGUCCAGACUCCCUACGGGAGGCACGAGUGGGGAAUAUUGCACAAUGGAGGAAACUCUGAUGCAGCAACGCCGCGUGGAGGAUGACACAUUUCGGUGCGUAAACUCCUUUUAUAUGGGAAGAUAAUGACGGUACCAUAUGAAUAAGCACCGGCUAACUCCGUGCCAGCAGCCGCGGUAAUACGGAGGGUGCAAGCGUUACUCGGAAUCACUGGGCGUAAAGCGCGCGCAGGGCGGCUAAUUUAAGUUGGAUGUGAAAGCCUACGGCUCAACCGUAGAGCUGCAUCCAAAACUAUUUAGCUAGAGUGUGGGAGAGGAAGAUGGAAUUAGUUGUGUAGGGGUAAAAUCCGUAGAGAUA